GCCCACGUGGUGGAAUUGGUAGACACGCUACCUUGAGGGGGUAGUGGGAGCAAUCCCGUGGAAGUUCGAAUCUUCUCGUGGGCA
rnacentral:tRNA from 2 species